rnacentral:rRNA from 1 species
ACGAAGGGAGCUAGCGUUGUUCGGAAUUACUGGGCGUAAAGGGCGCGUAGGCGGCUUGAUAAGUUGGGUGUGAAAGCCCAGGGCUCAACCCUGGAACUGCACCCAAGACUGUCUUGCUUGAAUUCGGUAGAGGUUAGUGGAAUUCCCAGUGUAGAGGUGAAAUUCGUAGAUAUUGGGAAGAAUAUCCGUGGCGAAGGCGGCUAACUGGACCGACAUUGACGCUGAGGCGCGAAAGCGUGGGGAUCAAACAG